CACGCCUCCACUAAACAUAUCCUCUCAGGGAUUUUACCGCCAUUUUCUUUCACAGGAGGACUGAAGAGAUCAGAUGCUAGUUUGGUGAAAGUACACACUGAGUGCUUCAAAUCAUUCAGAAGAGAUGCUGUUUUUAGGGCAGUUUAUUAAAGAAGACCUGACAUGGAUGACUUCCAAUGAGAAACGACUGCUAAUACUUAUAUAAAUUCAUUACAGAAGGACCCUACCAGACUAUAUUUAUAUACGGCAUACCCAUGAAUUCUGGAACUGUUAUUCCUUAACCCAGUUUGGAGGAUAAGAGCA